rnacentral:lncRNA from 1 species
AACAAGUUAGUGCUUGAUCUCACGAAUCUUCCACUCAAGAUCUUCAUCCCAGUGAGAUCACUCUAGCCAAGGGGAGUAAUCCAACGUUGAGUCCCCAUCGAAAAAGAUAGGAGAUCAUCGGCAUCACUGACUGUGGUCAGACCCACGAUGGGAGGAUGGUCAUCGAUUGGGGGAGGUCGAUCGAUGCAUCCUUCGAGGAGGAUUCUCCAAAACUAGAGAUUGGUCUUAAUGAUU